UGGGGAAUUUUGGACAAUGGGGGAAACCCUGAUCCAGCCAUCCCGCGUGUGCGAAGAAGGCCUUCGGGUUGUAAAGCACUUUUGGCAGGAAAGAAACGUCAUGGGUUAAUACCCCGUGAAACUGACGGUACCUGCAGAAUAAGCACCGGCUAACUACGUGCCAGCAGCCGCGGUAAUACGUAGGGUGCAAGCGUUAAUCGGAAUUACUGGGCGUAAAGCGUGCGCAGGCGGUUCGGAAAGAAAGAUGUGAAAUCCCAGAGCUCAACUUUGGAACUGCAUUUUUAACUACCGGGCUAGAGUGUGUCAGAGGGAGGUGGAAUUCCGCGUGUAGCAGUGAAAUGCGUAGAUAUGCGGAGGAACACCGAUGGCGAAGGCAGCCUCCUGGGAUAACACUGACGCUCAUGCACGAAAGCGUGGGGAGCAAACAGG
rnacentral:rRNA from 1 species